rnacentral:rRNA from 1 species
GACGAACGCUGGCGGCGUGCUUAACACAUGCAAGUCGAACGGUGAAGCGCCUUCCUUUUUGGUCGGUGUGGAUGCGUGGCGAACAGGUGAGUAACACGUGCGUAACCUGCCCCCUUCUUCUGGAUAACCGCAUGCAAGUGUGGCUAAUACAGGAUAUUCUGGUUCUGUCGCAUGGUGGGUCUGGGCAGGAUUUUGUUUCGGUGGGGGAUGGCCUCGCGGCCUAUCAGCUUGUUGGUGGGGUGAGGGCCUCCCAAGGCGGUGGCGGGUGGCCGGCCUGGGAGGGUGGCCGGUCAGACUGGGAGUGAGACACGGUCCAGACUCAGACGGGAGGCAGCAGUGGGGAAUAGGGAACAAUGGGGGAAAGUGUGAUGCAGCGGCGCGGCGGGUGGGAUGGAGGCCUGCGGGUUGUGAACGUCUUUGGGUAGUGAAGCAGGCUCGCCUGGUUUGUGGGUGGGUUGACGGUAGCUGGAUAAGAAGCGCCGGCUAACUACGUG